rnacentral:rRNA from 1 species
GAAUGGGGAAACCCAGUGUGUUUCGACACACUAUCAUUAACUGAAUCCAUAGGUUAAUGAGGCGAACCGGGGGAACUGAAACAUCUAAGUACCCCGAGGAAAAGAAAUCAACCGAGAUUCCCCCAGUAGCGGCGAGCGAACGGGGAGCAGCCCAGAGCCUGAAUCAGUAUGUGUGUUAGUGGAAGCGUCUGGAAAGGCGCGCGAUACAGGGUGACAGCCCCGUACACAAAAAUGCACAUGCUGUGAGCUCGAUGAGUAGGGCGGGACACGUGGUAUCCUGUCUGAAUAUGGGGGGACCAUCCUCCAAGGCUAAAUACUCCUGACUGACCGAUAGUGAACCAGUACCGUGAGGGAAAGGCGAAAAGAACCCCGGCGAGGGGAGUGAAAAAGAACCUGAAACCGUGUACGUACAAGCAGUGGGAGCACGCUUAGGCGUGUGACUGCGUACCUUUUG